GAGCACUGUUUCGGCUAGGGGGCCAUCCCGGCUUACCAACCCGAUGCAAACUGCGAAUACCGGAGAAUGUUAUCACGGGAGACACACGGCGGGUGCUAACGUCCGUCGUGAAGAGGGAAACAACCCAGACCGCCAGCUAAGGUCCCAAAGUCAUGGUUAAGUGGGAAACGAUGUGGGAAGGCCCAGACAGCCAGGAUGUUGGCUUAGAAGCAGCCAUCAUUUAAAGAAAGCGUAAUAGCUCACUGGUCGAGUCGGCCUGCGCG
rnacentral:rRNA from 1 species